rnacentral:rRNA from 1 species
UACGUAGGUGACAAGCGUUGUCCGGAUUUACUGGGCGUAAAGAGCGCGCAGGCGGUCGAUCAAGUCGAGUGUGAAAGCCCCCGGCUCAACUGGGGAGGGUCAUUCGAUACUGAUCGACUCGAAGGCAGGAGAGGGUAGUGGAAUUCCCGGUGUAGUGGUGAAAUGCGUAGAUAUCGGGAAGAACACCAGUGGCGAAGGCGGCUCACUGGUCCGGUACUGACGCUGAGGUGCGAAAGCGUGGGGAGCAAACAGG